GUCUGACGAGUGACAUCCUUUGCUCCAGUAGCGCCAUUUUAAUAAAAAAAUUGCCCAAAAUCCCUUAGAUAACAGUCAUACAGAAAAUAUUAGAAAGCUUUUUUGUUUUUCAGCCAAUCAGAGAGCAGCACUACUGAAAUAGAACUCUCAGGAGGUAACAGCGUGUCACACAUGUGAUGUCAUUGCCAUUGUCCACCAGAGAGCAGCACUGAGCAGAUAUAACACUGCUCCUGCUCAUUCUUCAUCAGUGAGGGGCUGAUGCUGGACACUGUAGGGACCGAGAAUGCAAAGUCAUAUACACUACUGUGACUGAUGCACUAUUUCCAGGAUGUGGAGUAGCAUUUCCGGACCUACAGCAAGACGUUGGAUGAAGACGUAGAUUUCCAUACCCACAGCAAGAAUUUGGAUGAAGGCACAGCCCCUCAAAUCACGCACAUACACAGACACAUUGGCCCAAAUUCUAGAGGUAACCUCCUUUAGUAUGCCCAGAGGAAGGGCAAUACAGUAGCCAUGGAUUCCCUACAGGUUUCCUCCCCUCUGGAGGUUUUUCCUGUCCUGAGUAUUAGUUACUGUACGCUCUUUGUGAGUGAUGGAGGUUACAUAAAAUCCCUACACAAACAUUUUAAUAUAUAAUAAAUAAAGUUCCCCUUUUUAAACCAUU